rnacentral:rRNA from 1 species
GUGGGGAAUAUUGGACAAUGGGCGAAAGCCUGAUCCAGCCAUGCCGCGUGUGUGAAGAAGGUCUUCGGAUUGUAAAGCACUUUAAGUUGGGAGGAAGGGCAUUAACCUAAUACGUUAGUGUUUUGACGUUACCGACAGAAUAAGCACCGGCUAACUUCGUGCCAGCAGCCGCGGUAAUACGAAGGGUGCAAGCGUUAAUCGGAAUUACUGGGCGUAAAGCGCGCGUAGGUGGUUCGUUAAGUUGGAUGUGAAAGCCCCGGGCUCAACCUGGGAACUGCAUCCAAAACUGGCGAGCUAGAGUACGGUAGAGGGUGGUGGAAUUUCCUGUGUAGCGGUGAAAUGCGUAGAUAUAGGAAGGAACACCAGUGGCGAAGGCGACCACCUGGACUGAUACUGACACUGAGGUGCGAAAGCGUGGGGAGCAAACAGGAUUAGAUACCCCAGUAGUCC